rnacentral:rRNA from 1 species
AGAUUGAACGCUGGCGGAAUGCUUUACACAUGCAAGUCGAACGGCAGCACGGGGGCAACCCUGGUGGCGAGUGGCGAACGGGUGAGUAAUACAUCGGAACGUGCCCAGUCGUGGGGGAUAACUACGCGAAAGCGUAGCUAAUACCGCAUACGAACUCUGGUUGAAAGCGGGGGACUCGCAAGAGCCUCGCGCGAUUGGAGCGGCCGAUGGCAGAUUAGGUAGUUGGUGGGGUAAAGGCUCACCAAGCCGACGAUCUGUAGCUGGUCUGAGAGGACGACCAGCCACACUGGGACUGAGACACGGCCCAGACUCCUACGGGAGCAGCAGUGGGAAUAUGGACAAUGGGACGAAAGCCUGAUCCAGCCAUGCCGCGUGUGUGAAGAAGGUCUUCGGAUUGUAAAGCAACGUUUAAGUGGAGGAAGGGUUGUAACCUAAGUACGUUGACUAACGUUUGAACGUUACCGAACAGAAUAAGCACCGGCUAAACUUCGUAGCCAGCAGCCG